AAACUGGCAAAAAAUCUUUCAGGAUGUCUUCCUGAUGAUUAGUUGAACAUCCUUCACAAAAUAUGCUUGCAAUUAUUUAUGACUUCUAACCAUGCAACAGCAUGCUAAAAAGUAUUUUCAUCAUUUCUGCCUCUUAAGAGGCAGAAAGACACCAGAGAACUACCUCUACAAGCAGGACCCAGAGUUUUCAACUCACUGCACAAACAUGGGCUGCCUACAAUGUAUAUUGCAGUGCAACAAAACAGUGGUGCUAGAAAGGAAGGCAGCUUGCCCAAGGCUGCUGGCUGCAUUGCCAGGAGAGUCAGGACCCUGGGUGAACCCAGGACUGGACAACACCAACCCCAUGUUUCAGGUACUGCAGCUGCCUGCAGCCAGCCUUUCCAGUUGCUGUUGCACACGGAUCCAGAAGAACCCAAAUUCACCUACUGAAUGUUGCUGUCUGCCUGGAAAAAAAAUAACCCCAAAGUGUCCUUGCUUUCCAAGCUCUGAGGUUGAAUCUCCAUUCUCACCCUUCAGCUCCAGUGCCUCAAAAACAUAUUUCCUCCUCAUGUUUUAAAGGCAUGAUGUUGUCCAAAUUCUCCUUUCUUUCCUUUGAUUCUUUUGUUUUUUACUAGCCCAUUCCCCCUGCUUUAAAGUAAAUCUCUUAAUUUGCCAUUUUUAUUCUUCUUUUUUUCCUGUACUAUAUUACAGCCUAAUGAGAUUUCCUUUAGUACAAAUGAAGACUUCUCUUAUUUGAUUCUGUCUUAUACCUCCAGUGAAAUCCUGUGUCUCAGAAGAUGACAUCUUUAGCUUCUCAAUCACUUGGAGAUAUCUCAGUUUUUUUCAGUUCAUUUUAAGCCACUACAUGCAUCACUUAUUUGGCUCUUCUUGUAUCAUUCAAAAUCUAUCCUGUAAUUCUACAAAGCCAUUUGUAGAACAGCUUUAUAGAAUGGUAAACGUCACUUAUACCUCUGUGUUUGCAUAUAUUUACAUUUAAUAUGUAAAAGAUAGUAGAAUUAAAGUUAAUCCUUAAUACGUGUGUAACUGUACCUUUCAUAAUAGUGUAUUCCAGUACUUCUUCACAAUCCCACAUGUGUCAUGAUUUGGCUUAAUUUAAGACAGACAGAUGCAUCCUGCGGAGGUAUAUAUCCAUAUUCUGGAGAGAGAGAAUAUGACUUUUAUUGGUUUGUAAAGUAUCAUACUUCUAGUGAGCUUCAGAGCUGUAUGGACUCUGCAUUUCUUCUACCGGCAUUAUUAGCAUGCAUUCGAUAUGCACCACAUAGAGCAUUUUUAGUGUAUCUGUCUUAACAUGAUCAGCUGUGGGUAUGGCACUGGCACUCCUGGAAACUGAAUAUGCAUAUUUUCUACCUCUACUCAUCAUCAUCUACAUUAAGAUUUUAUGUAUCUCUCUUCUGCUUUUUUUUUUUUUUUGGUGUCUUCUCCGAUUUUUGUUCAGGAAAAUGACUUGAAUUUUCAGCUUUUUCUGUGAAAAAAAAAUCUGAUGGAUUUGUUUCCUAUUAGUAUCUGUGAUUAAUAACAUGCUAAAUGUUGAAAUCUUAGCUAACUGAGAUAAACUAUUGAUUGUACACAUAUAAUCCUGUAGACAUACACCGUUGACCAAGUUUAGGAUUAAAUUUGGAUCCAGCUGCACCUAAACUUGCCUCUGAAAAGAAGUUUAGAACACAAGGGGGUCCUUUCUGAACCUUACUGGUGCUUGUAACAUCUCCCAAAACAAUGCUAAUCCAAUCAUAGCUCUGCUAGAUAUCUGACAUAACAUUCAAAGACUUCUCUAGGCAAAGAACAUACACCCAGCUUCUCUGAGUAAUGAGUCAGGACUGAUAAUAAGGAACAUCAGGCCCCAGCCCUUGGAUGACUACCCAGAAGAAAAUGGGCAGUAAUUAGACAAAAGGUAAUUCU